rnacentral:rRNA from 1 species
UACGUAGGGGGCGAGCGUUGUCCGGAUUUAUUGGGCGUAAAGAGCUCGUAGGCGGUUUGUCGCGUCUGCCGUGAAAGUCCGGGGCUCAACUCCGGAUCUGCGGUGGGUACGGGCAGACUAGAGUGUGGUAGGGGAGACUGGAAUUCCUGGUGUAGCGGUGAAAUGCGCAGAUAUCAGGAGGAACACCGGUGGCGAAGGCGGGUCUCUGGGCCGAAACUGACGCUGAGGAGCGAAAGCGUGGGGAGCAAACAGG